rnacentral:pre_miRNA from 1 species
CAAUCCAUACCAAGAUUUUCUAUGUGUACAAAUAAUCUAGAAAAUCUUGUGUGGAUUGAU